AUUGAACGCUGGCGGAAUGCUUUACACAUGCAAGUCGAGCGGCAGCGCGGGGCAACCUGGCGGCGAGCGGCGAACGGGUGAGUAAUACAUCGGAACGUACCCAGUUGUGGGGGAUAGCCCGGCGAAAGCCGGAUUAAUACCGCAUACGACCUGAGGGUGAAAGGGGGGGAUCGCAAGACCUCUCGCAGUUGGAGCGGCCGAUGGCGGAUUAGCUAGUUGGUAGGGUAAAGGCCUACCAAGGCGACGAUCCGUAGCGGGUCUGAGAGGACGACCCGCCACACGGGAACUGAGACACGGUCCAGACUCCUACGGGAGGCAGCAGUGGGGAAUUUUGGACAAUGGGGGCAACCCUGAUCCAGCCAUUCCGCGUGAGUGAAGAAGGCCUUCGGGUUGUAAAGCUCUUUCGGCAGGAACGAAACGGUCCUUUCUAAUACAAGGGGCUAAUGACGGUACCUGAAGAAGAAGCACCGGCUAACUACGUGCCAGCAGCCGCCGUAACAC
rnacentral:rRNA from 1 species